rnacentral:rRNA from 1 species
CCUACGGGCGGCUGCAGUGGGGAAUAUUGGACAAUGGGGGGAACCCUGAUCCAGCCAUGCCGCGUGUGUGAAGAAGGCCCUCGGGUUGUAAAGCACUUUCAGUGAGGAAGAACGCCUAGUGGUUAAUACCCAUCAGGAAAGACAUCACUCACAGAAGAAGCACCGGCUAACUCCGUGCCAGCAGCCGCGGUAAUACGGAGGGUGCGAGCGUUAAUCGGAAUUACUGGGCGUAAAGCGCGCGUAGGUGGCUUGAUAAGCCGGUUGUGAAAGCCCCGGGCUCAACCUGGGAACGGCAUCCAGAACUGUCAAGCUAGAGUGCAGGAGAGGAAGGUAGAAUUCCCGGUGUAGCGGUGAAAUGCGUAGAGAUCGGGAGGAAUACCAGUGGCGAAGGCGGCCUUCUGGACUGACACUGACACUGAGGUGCGAAAGCGUGGGUAGCAAACAGGAUUAGAUACCCUGGUAGUC